GACGAACGCUGGCGGCGUGCUUAACACAUGCAAGUCGAACGGAAAGGCCUCUUUCGGGGGGUACUCGAGUGGCGAACGGGUGAGUAACACGUGAGUAACCUGCCCUUGACUUUGGGAUAACUUCAGGAAACUGGGGCUAAUACCGGAUAGGAGCUCCUGCUGCAUGGUGGGGGUUGGAAAGUUUCGGCGGUUGGGGAUGGACUCGCGGCUUAUCAGCUUGUUGGUGGGGUAGUGGCUUACCAAGGCUUUGACGGGUAGCCGGCCUGAGAGGGUGACCGGCCACAUUGGGACUGAGAUACGCCCCAGACUCCUACGGGAGGCAGCAGUGGGGAAUAUUGCACAAUGGGUGGAAGCCUGAUGCAGCAACGCCGUGUGCGGGAGGACGGCCUUCGGGUUGUAAACCGCUUUCGCUCAUGACGAAGCUUUGUGUGACGGUAGUGGGUAAAGAAGCACCGGCUAACUACGUG
rnacentral:rRNA from 1 species